rnacentral:tmRNA from 1 species
GGGGAUGUUUUGGAUUUGACAGGAUGUUUGAUUAAAUCAGGUUGCGGGUUCGGGUGCUGUUCCCGAUUAUCAACAAGCAAACAAAUUAAACGCUAAAAAUAACGUUGUAGAUGCAACUGCAGCUUUCGCUGCACGUAGAGCUCCAGAAGCUCUUGCUGCCUAAUUUCGCAGUAUGCUACCCUCUAAUGCCCAACUUGCCGGUAUUAUUGGGCCAUUAUGCAAGUACAGUGCUUCAAUAGUGGUAGAAGUAUCAAGUUAACCACCGAAGGUUGGUUUCUCCGUCAAAGAAACUGUGUUUAUAGUUUUGGUUUGGUGCCUUCCCAACUAUAUUCGAGAUAAUAAGAUACUACACUCGUAGGUAUCUGCUUUAAUUCAUUUUGGACGCGGGUUCGACUCCCGCCAUCUCCACCA